GAGAUGUUAGUAAAACCAUUACACAGCCUUGUCAAGACUGUAUUACGAGUGAAAACCUCGUACACCUCA
rnacentral:tRNA from 1 species